CAAAGAUGGGUGCUGGAGAGGCCCAGAGGAGGGGUUCAGCCCAGUCUAAAGGGGUGAGGGUUGCCAGGCACAGCUUCCAGUAGAGGGAUCCUGCAGAAAGGCCCAGCCGCUUCUGUGAGCUCAGCCCACUGGGAGCAGUCUGUCCCCGAGGACCCACAGACCUCGGCUGUGAGAUGUGUCGAUGAUAAAAUCAAAACCAUAUUUUUCUAUGUUGGAAGACGGAGCCGUGAUAAAUUUGGAAAGUAAUACAUAUCAGGGCUUUGCAGACCACUUCCCGGCAUCUCCCAGCAGACCGGCUUCCUGCAGCCAGAACGGCGCACCCCCAAGGGCGUGCGGCUUGGACUGGCGGCUGCGGCAGUCUGUGAAGCCUUAUCUCAAAAGAGACUCCAGGAGACCAGAGAAGGCCGUUUGAUGUCAGGAUGAAGGACACAGACCUGUCCAACCUACAGUACAGUCAUGUCGGCCACACUGGAUGGGGCAGACUCCACGUCCUCCCUGUGUGGUUCUCGUGGCCCACCAUCCAGGCAGAUGUGCUCACGGGACAGACUGGGGCCCUCAGAGAGCUCUCAGCUCCUGCUCCUCAUGACACAGAAAGGAGUGUGACCGUGCCCACCACUGGUCUUUUAAAAAGACUCGGGGCUGGAAACGACCCAAAAGUCAAUCUGGUGCCUCAGUCUCCAGUGACUACGUGCCCAUCCAGUCCCCCCUUGAGGAGGCUUCCCCCAGCAGGGUCUCCUCUGCUGACAGGGCAGGGACAGAGAGCUCGCUCCCUUGCUGCAGGGGAGGCUCGGCUUCUGCAGCCUGGAAAUCAUCUCCGCAGGAUGGCCCUUUUUCUGGAGGCCUGGACGUUCCCCACAACCCAGCGACACUCUCUGGCGAGAUGA
rnacentral:lncRNA from 1 species